rnacentral:rRNA from 1 species
GAUGAACGCUAGCUACAGGCUUAACACAUGCAAGUCGAGGGACCGGCGCACGGGUGAGUAACACGUAUCCAACCUGCCCUUUACUCGGGGAUAGCCUUUCGAAAGAAAGAUUAAUACCCGAUGUCAAGGAUGGGGAUGCGUUCCAUUAGGUUGUUGGUGAGGUAACGGCUCACCAAGCCUUCGAUGGAUAGGGGUUCUGAGAGGAAGGGCCCCCAGAUUGGAACUGAGACACGAUCCAAACGCGUACGGGAGGCAGCAGUGAGGAAGAGUUGGCAAUGGGCGGUAGCCUGAACCAGCCAAGUAGCGUGAAGGAUGAAGGCUUAUGGGUCGUUAACUUCUUUUAUAUAAGAAUAUGUAUUAUAUGAAUAAGGAUCGGCUAACUCCGUGCCAGCAGCCGCGGUAAUAC